UUCCGGAGAAGGAGCAUGAGAAACGGCUACUAUUUCUAAGGAAAAGCAGCAGGCGCGCAAAAUUAUUCAAUGGAAACAAAUUUCCGAAAUAGUGACAAAAAAUAUCAAUGCUGGGCACAAUGUGUCUAGUAAUUGGAAUGAGUACAAUUUAAAUCCCUUAACAAGUAACAAUUAGAGGGCAAGUCUGGUGCCAGCAGCCGCGGUAAUUCCAGCUCUAAUAGCGUAUAUUAAUAUUGUUGCAGUUAAAAAGCUCGUAGUUGAAAUUUGGGACUUUAUUGUAUUGGUUUAUCUUUUGAUGAACUGUAUAAUGGGUUUCUUCCUACUAGGAUUCGAUUCUGUCCUUUAACUGGAUAGGAGUAGUCAUCUCUCGGGGUGAUCAAUUUGUUGUUAUAUCUCCACUAAUGAGCGGAGAGGGGUAAAACUCUCAAAGUAAGUUUGUGGUCAAGGUAUAAUGAUGAAUUGGAGUUCUAGUUCAUUUACUUG
rnacentral:rRNA from 1 species